CCUAGCUGAACUAGGCUCGAUUUUGGUGGAAGUUUACAUGAUUUAACCUAGUUGAUUUGUUAUCGGCUGACCUUUAUUCAAAUGAAAACAUUCAACCUGCUUACUAUGAAAUCUCUGCUUACAGCGUGCUUAACUCUAUGUUUGAUAUCUUGAUAAGAAAUUCUGCCAGUGAUGUACUUUAGCAAUGUUUCUAGUGGCACAACUUGUUGUGGACCGAGGGUGUUCAUGAUUAAUGCCUGUUGAAGGUGGUUCGACAAAUCAUACAUCCAUGAAGAAGCCAAUCUUAUUAUUUAGUGAGAGAACAAGAAAAACACAACAAUGAAGGAUGAGGAAUCAUCCACUCUACUUAACUUCUAAUCUCACUCGUUUUCUCUUUUAGCAGUGCUGCAAUGGCAGCUACGACUUGUUGUCCUUGACAGCUCACUCUCUCCUUCUAUUUCCUUAUAUUAAUUCUAGCUCAUCUAUUUGGAUAUAGGCGAGUAAAGCUGAGAGCAAGAAUGGGUCAAAGGGGUUGUGAAUCCUACCGUCAGAUUAGCUGAUUGGAGUCAUGGAUGAGUUGUGUAACGAAGUUAACUCUUCAGUCUGAUGUGCUAGUCUUAAUGCCUAGGUUAGGGAAACUCAUUCAAGUAACUUUCCUAAUGCUAAGUGCCCAUUUGUGUCGGGGAGCAAGGUUGUUAUGGAUUAGUUCCUCUACAGAAGUGUUUGAUUAUCUAGCAGUAAGGUUGACUUCAGAAAGGGAAAUUGGCAUCAGUGUGGAUGUGGUCUCUCAAGCAGGCCUCCUGUGGGAAAUGGUUGUGAUGACCCUCGUUCAUGAAAUGGGUUGCCAUACUUUUUCUUGCAAGAAGGCAGAAAUCCUGGGAAAUGCUACCUUUUUGAGCCCUCACUUUAGCAUGCAAAGCAAGAACCUUGAACUGUUCGUGUUCAUUGGUCUACUCUAAACCUUUGGAGAACUUAGCAUCCCUCGCCUUAAUUUAUUGGUUGGAAUGGAGACAGAAGGUUUUGCCAUCCAUGAUUCAAUGAUGCAGUUAAAGAAUGAGAAACAUACUAAAGUUGCUGUAGGAGCUGCUGGUGGCCAGGCUUGUCUACUACUGGCUGCUGGAACAAAGGGCAAACGACACAUGAUGCCACAUGCAAAAGGUAUGA